GUGGGUUUGUAAGUCGGGCGUGAAAUCCCUCGGCUUAACCGAGGAACUGCGUCCGAAACUGCAUGGCUUGAGGACGGAAGGGGAAGGUGGAAUUCCUGGUGGAGCGGUGAAAUGCGUAGAUAUCAGGAGGAACGCCGGUGGCGAAAGCGGCCUUCUGGUCCGUUUCUGACGCUGGGGUGCGAAAGCUAGGGGAGCAAACAGGAUUAGAUACCCUGGUAGUCCUAGCCGUAAACGAUGGGCACUAAGUAGAGGGG
rnacentral:rRNA from 1 species